rnacentral:lncRNA from 1 species
CAUACAGGCCUGAUAGAAUUGUGAAAAUUAUAGAAUUGUGAAAAUUAUAGAAUUGUGCAAAAUGUUUCGUAAAUAUUUCUUCUUUGUUGCCAUUCUUGCGGUUUUUGUGUUUGUUAAAGUUAAUGGCAAAGCUCCAGGCCCUUCAAUGGGUGAUAUAAGAGGUCCUCCGGCGCCAGAAGAUGUGACUUGUGCCGAGCGCGGAGGCGCGUGCUUGCGACUCACACCAGACAUGAGCUGCUCUAACGCUCAUGUGAGCGCUCCGG